rnacentral:rRNA from 1 species
UGCUUAGGAAUCUGCCUAUUAGUGGGGGACAACAUCUCGAAAGGGAUGCUAAUACCGCAUACGUCCUACGGGAGAAAGCAGGGGAUCUUCGGACCUUGCGCUAAUAGAUGAGCCUAAGUCGGAUUAGCUAGUUGGUGGGGUAAAGGCCUACCAAGGCGACGAUCUGUAGCGGGUCUGAGAGGAUGAUCCGCCACACUGGGACUGAGACACGGCCCAGACUCCUACGGGAGGCAGCAGUGGGGAAUAUUGGACAAUGGGGGGAACCCUGAUCCAGCCAUGCCGCGUGUGUGAAGAAGGCCUUAUGGUUGUAAAGCACUUUAAGCGAGGAGGAGGCUACUUUAGUUAAUACCUAGAGAUAGUGGACGUUACUCGCAGAAUAAGCACCGGCUAACUCUGUGCCAGCAGCCGCGGUAAUACAGAGGGUGCGAGCGUUAAUCGGAUUUACUGGGCGUAAAGCGUGCGUAGGCGGCUUAUUAAGUCGGAUGUGAAAUCCCCGAGCUUAACUUGGGAAUUGCAUUCGAUACUGGUGAGCUAGAGUAUGGGAGAGGAUGGUAGAAUUCCAGGUGUAGCGGUGAGAUGCGUAGAGAUCUGGAGGAAUACCGAUGGCGAAGGCAGCCAUCUGGCCUAAUACUGACGCUGAGGUACGAAAGCAUGGGGAGCAAACAGGAUUAGAUACCCUGGUAGUCCAUGCCGUACACGAUGUCUA